rnacentral:rRNA from 1 species
CCGACUGUUUACCAAAAACAUAGCCUUUAGCCCAACAAGUAUUAAAGGUCCCGCCUGCCCAGUGACCCCUUCAACGGCCGCGGUAUCCUAACCGUGCAAAGGUAGCAUAAUCACUUGUCCCCUAAAUAGGGACUAGAAUGAACGGCUAAAUGAGGACUAAACUGUCUCUUGCAGGAAGCCAAUGAAACUGAUCUUCCAGUCCAAAAGCUGCAAUAUUAUCAUAAGACGAGAAGACCCUGUGGAGCUUUUAAACCCUGACCAUUAAACAUGGCCCCUUGGUUUUUAGUUGGGGCGACUUCGGAGCACAAAAAACCCUCCGAAAAACUCUAUUAAGAUCCACACAUCAAAAUAAUUAACUUGACCCAGUAGUUUCACUAAACUAUCUGACCUAUGAACCAAGUUACCCCAGGGAUAACAGCGCUAUCCCCUUCUAGAGUCCCUAUCGACAAGGGGGCUUACGACCUCGAUGUUGGAUCAGGAGACCCUAAUAGUGCAACCGCUAUUAAAGGUUCGUUUGUUCAACGAUUAAUAAUCCUACGUGAUCUGAGUUCAACAGACCGGCCGGGGAUCCGGA